UGUAGACCGGAGCUGUUCCUAUUCGGCCAUCUUGGCUCCUCCAGGAAGCCCACAGGACCCGUCUCUGCUGAUGGACUUUGCAAGUGGAAUGUGCUAUCAUCCACAGAGACACAGGCCUGCAUAGACACCUCGCCAGUGCCCUGUGCAGAGACAGGAGUGCCGCCAACCCAUUGCCCUUGAGAUGGAGACCACCUCUUUGGUAUUGCAAAGAAGGUCCUUCGUAAUCAUCUAUCCCUCAUCCUCACCCUUCUGCUCCAUUUGAAAGGCCCUCCAGAACAACAUGUCAUUCCUGGGAACCAUCUUUGGUAUUGCAAAGAAGGUUCUUCAUGAUCAUCGUCCCCCAUCCUCACCCUCCUGCUUCAUUUGAAAGGCCCUCCAGAACAAUGUGUCACUACCAGAAACCAUUCGCUAUCUCUGUUCCUUGUUUGUAUUUCUGCACUGGAAAUGGCCUUACAGCUCCACACUCAUCCUUCAGACAUGCAGCUCCUUGGUGACCCCAUCUGCUGGGUGCUGGCCUAUGUCACAUCCAGGUUGCUUUUUAUUCAUUGUCUCAUCUACCAGCCCAUGCCUCCCCAAGGGCAGGGCUGGUCCUGGUUCACUAACCCAUCCCCAGCACCCAUUGGAAUGCUCUAGACUUCAGCCCAGUGAGUCACUAAGAAAGGACAGAUACCUUGGCAGAAGAGCUGAGGAAAGCCCAGGUCCCUGUCUUCAGGCCAAGGCUCUCUUCCCAUUUGACCAACCCUGGCAUAUGUG
rnacentral:lncRNA from 10 species